rnacentral:misc_RNA from 1 species
AACGCACAUUGCGCCCCCUGGUAUUCCGGGGGGCAUGCCUGUUCGAGCGUCAUUUCACCACUCAAGCCUCGCUUGGUAUUGGGCAACGCGGUCCGCCGCAUGCCUCAAAUCGACCGGCUGGGUCUUCUGUCCCCUAAGCGUUGUGGAAACUAUUCGCUAAAGGGUGCUCGGGAGGCUACGCCGUAAAACAAACCCAUUUCUAAGGUUGACCUCGGAUCAGGUAGGGAUACCCGCUGAACUUAA